UGAUUAACGCAUUAAAAUAGCUUCAAGUGAGAGAAACUGGUACAAAAGUAAUGCUUUGAAAAGGUAAAAUGUAGCUGGGAGGACUGAAUUAUCAGAAGGGAUGAGUCUUUCUGAUUAUCAGAAGGGAUGAGAGAACAAACAGCGAGAGCCUAUGCCUGGGACAGAAUAAGACUAUGCACUGAUGAGAACACAGCAGGCUCGGUGCACAGAGAAGGUCCUAGAGUGGAUCCAACUACUAUGAUCAAGUCUUCACGUCAGCUCUUGCCACUAACAAAGAAGCCUAUUGGAGGGCCUUUUGGUAUCGUGGCUUUUCAGAAAGCUCUACAAGCAAAUAUCAGAUGACUUGUCAACAUUUUCCCUUUUGGUCUUUAUUAAAAUCACUCUACAGGACAUUGGUCAAGACUGGACUUUGCAACUCUGGACAGUAGGAAGCUACACCAACACUAACCUAGCCUUACAAUUAUGAAUAUUGAGGAAGGAUUCUGAAAUCACCAUUGCCAAAGCCUGCCUGCUUCCCAGCCUGGACUCUUUCCUUCUUCCAAGGCCCAGAUAUCAUCAAGAGGCAUCUCCAGUCUUGGUCCCAGGUCCAACUCCUGCCAUAACAUUCCAGUUUCUCCAGGAUGGGUCUCCUAGGAAUGAGAAGAGUGCCACAAAUAUCCACUACCCUCACUGCCUACUCUGCCACCUAAGCUGGCCAGCUGAUGGCCUUCCACUCACCCUAUGGUCUAUUCCCGGGGCUCCCACCCACUUACCGGAAGCUCCACUUCUUUCAGGAACACCCAGAGUGUCUGCUAAGGCUCUGCCCAUCAUUUGUCUGCAUUCCUUCUGGCCCACUCUCCCUCAAAGCACCAGCCUCACCCCAGGAUAUGGACUUCAUUGCAGGGUUACCGCUUGUGAUAGUUUUAUGUGUUAACUUGGUCAGGCUAUAGGACCCAGUUAUUCAAUUGAACACUAGUCCAGAUGUUGAUGGGAAGGUGAUAUGAAGACUUGGUUAAGAUCUGCAACCAGUUGACUUUAAGUAAAAGAGAUUAUUCUUGAUAAUCUUGGUGAACUUCAUCCAAUUGGUUGAAAGGCCUUAAGAACAAAAUUGAGGUUUCCCAGAGGAAGAAGAAAUCCCAUCUGUGGACUGCAAAAUCAUCUCCCGCUGGAGAGUACACAGCCUGAGGGCCUGCCCUGUGGAUUUUAGACUUACCAGCCUCCACAACAUGAAUGUGUGUGUGUGUGUAUGUGUAUGUGUGUGUGUGUAUGUGUGUGUGUGUGUGUGUGUGUGUGUGUGUAUGUGUGUGUGUAUUAAUCCAUUACUGGUUCUCUUCUCUGUUAGCAUCCUUCCUGCCCAGGAACCCCUGCCACUACCACUGCCCACACAGCCAGCAGAUCAAACCCAAAAUGGCCAAAAUCUGAUCUCAUUGCUCCCACAAUUCACAUCAAAACCACCCAGCUCCUAGUCACAAGAUCACUUUACCAGGCUGACUGUCCUGUUAACAUUUAACAAUAUCAAAAGCCAAUAACAUUUUCCUGAGCCAUUCCUGUGGCCUGAGAUGAUGCUAAUCACCAUGUAUGAAUUCAUUUAAUCUUCCUGCCAUCCUAUAUGGUAGGAAUUAUUAUUAUUCCUAUUUAUCCAAAGAAAGAAUCAAGACUCAGCAGCACCUUCAUGGAGGUGACUUAAGGUCCCCUGGCUACUAAAAGGUGGAGCUGGUAUUCACACCUGCUCCAGCAACUUCCCAGUCCCAGUUUCUGGGGCCUCUGGCUUAAGCUGUUUUCUUGCUUCCAGUUUUACCCUAAAUCCAUGUUCUACAUAGUAGUGAUAGUAGAGCUGAAUGUUGACCUCCUAAGAGAUACGUCCACCUGAAACUUGUGAAUGUGACCGUGUUUCGAAAAAAUAUCUUGGCAGACAUAAUUAAGAACCUCGAGAUAAUAUCCUUAAUUAGAGUGGGCCCUAAAUCUGGUCAUAAGUGAGCUCACAAGAGAAGGGGCAAGGCACAAAGAGGAAAAGGCCAUGUGAAGAUGAAGUCAGAGACUAGAGUGGUACAACUACAACCCAGGAGAUGCUAAGAAUUUCCAACAACUGCCAGAAACGAGAAGAGAGGCAUAAAACAGCUUCUCCCUCAGAGGCUCCAGAAGGAACCAACUCUGCUGACCUUUUGAUUUUAGACUUCUGACCUCCAGAACUGUGGAAAAAUAAUUGCUAUUGUUUCAGCCACCUAGUCAAUGUGUGGAUUAAAGUAUUUUUUGUUCCGGCAACCCCAGGAAACUAAUACAGUGGUCAAAGUGAUGCUUUAAACACGUAACUCAGAUCGUGUCAUUUUCCUAUGGAAAACCCUCCAAUGACAUCCUAUUACACUCGAGUAAAAUUCAAACUCUUUACUCAGGCCCGCCAGGCCCAAUAGAGUCUGGUCUUGCCUUCCCCUCUUACUCGUGACAUCCUCCAUCCUCACGCCCCUGAUCGGUUCACCCUAGCCACACCAGUGAUCUUUCUGUUCCCAAAUGCACCAAACCCAUGCCUGCCUGAGGAUCUUCAGACUGACUGCUCCUUCUGCCUGGAAAUGUUUCCCCCAGAUAUUCCCAGGGCUGGCUCCUAUUCACCUUCAGGACUCCAAAGUCCCCUUCUCAGAAAGGCCUCCUCUGACCACAAAUUCUAAAAUAGCCCUUCCCCAAGCACACCCUAUCCCACUGCCCGGUCCUGUAUUUCUUCACAGUCCUUAUACUUGUUUACCUGAUUGGUUUAUGAGUAUUAUCUGUUUGUCAUGAGAGCAGAUUCUUGUCUGCUUAUUCACUGAUCAAUCUCCAGCACCAAAAACAAUGCUGGG
rnacentral:lncRNA from 1 species